CUUGAGGGUCCUGCGCAGUAUCUUAGCUGUUCCCAGGACUGCGCUCUUGUAGCAGGUUGAAAAAGCUACAUGUUUAUUUUUGUAAGAAAACCAAUUACCCCCUUAUUUUUUGUUUAUUAUUGUGACUUAUUUUGACAUUUUUAUGUGUUGCCAGACCAUGGUUAUAUCUCAUUAUGCCAGUAGAUGGUGCUCUUGCACUGCUGUGGAACUACCAGAGAGACUCUAGCUAUAGGCUCUGCGCAUGCGCAGCUCAGAAAUAAAUGAGCUCCGGCCUGAGCAAGACGCUAACUUCGGUGUCCUCUCUAUUAAUCCACAGUUUGCUCAUACUUGGCUACGCAGUGCUCUCUAGCCUGUGUGCCGCUUGCUGCCGGUCCAGAUUCCCCUAGGUCUGGUGCCGGUAACACUCUUCUGAACAGAGAUCUCCGCUGUUGUUCUCGGGAUCUGCUGGAGCCACUCGCCUAGCGCUCCGAUUACCACGGGGACCACCGUUACCUUCACCCUCCACAUCCUCCCGAG